rnacentral:rRNA from 1 species
UGAGUAAUGCCUAGGAAUCUGCCUGAUAGUGGGGGACAACGUCCGGAAACGGGCGCUAAUACCGCAUACGUCCUACGGGAGAAAGUGGGGGACCUUCGGGCCUCAUGCUAUCAGAUGAGCCUAGGUCGGAUUAGCUAGUUGGUGGGGUAAUGGCUCACCAAGGCGACGAUCCGUAACUGGUCUGAGAGGAUGAUCAGUCACACUGGAACUGAGACACGGUCCAGACUCCUACGGGAGGCAGCAGUGGGGAAUAUUGGACAAUGGGCGAAAGCCUGAUCCAGCCAUGCCGCGUGUGUGAAGAAGGUCUUCGGAUUGUAAAGCACUUUAAGUUGGGAGGAAGGGCAGUUACCUAAUACGUAAUUGUUUUGACGUUACCGACAGAAUAAGCACCGGCUAACUCUGUGCCAGCAGCCGCGGUAAUACAGAGGGUGCAAGCGUUAAUCGGAAUUACUGGGCGUAAAGCGCGCGUAGGUGGUUUGUUAAGUUGGAUGUGAAAGCCCCGGGCUCAACCUGGGAACUGCAUCCAAAACUGGCAAGCUAGAGUAUGGUAGAGGGUGGUGGAAUUUCCUGUGUAGCGGUGAAAUGCGUAGAUAUAGGAAGGAACACCAGUG